GGCACAAGUGUCCAGGCGCCCGGUCGGAGGAUGCAACGGCAUACAAGGGAUGUCGACGUAAUUAGCCAACACAUGGCUGAAAUGAGGGAGUUCUGGAGAGAGCAGCUGAAGGAAAGCGAUGCUUGGCAGGAGCGAUUGCUGACCACCAUUAUGGACAACAACACAACCAUGGUUGCAGCGCUUUUGGAGGGAAUCAAGAGCUUGAGGCCACCGGAACCCCUAUCCCCACGUGUGUGUCAGGUGGUUGUAAACCGUGAAGAGGAGAGUGAUGAGGCUGUUGAUGGGCUCUAAUCCUGUCUGUGCCCCUCCUCCAUAACCUUAAAUUACUCUUCAGGGAUCCACCAGGGGUAAAUGUCACAGAGCCUUGUUAAAAGCAGAUAUUUCAGCUCUAUGAGCAGUGGAAUCACUUGGGAUUCUUGACAGCUCAACACCUUUGUCAUUGAUCAGAUUUGGAUCAAUUUAUGGGCAGAAGAAAUAAUGAGUGUUAUAUAUUCAGAUACAUUCAUCAUCAAUGUAGUUCACAAGAUGUAAAUACAUCACGUUAGUGAUGCAUUUGGUUAUCAGUCGAUUACAGAUUUUGAAAUCAAAUGACUUAAAAGGACCAAAAUGCACACAAGCAGCAAUAAUCCAAAUCAACCAGGUUUACCUGAUUAGAUAUUUUUUAUAACCAGUCAACAUUAUCAGUAUAAUGUUAUAGGGAGCCGUGCGCUGGUAAUAUUUGGUUGGAAUGUGCAAUUUAGAUUCAUUUUGCAAACAGCCACCAUCUUAUUAAUUAAGGGUUGCUGGUCUCGGGAGACAGGGCAGGACAUUGAGCAACCGAAAGGCUCCCUUGCACCUUCUUUGUUUCAUCCUGGUUUUGUUGCCCCCAGACACCUGUCCCACCAGCUUGUUUGUACGGUUCAGUCCUCCAUGCGUCUGAUUGUGAGUCAUUGCUUUGAAAGUGAGUGGCCUCAGUGGUUAGAAAACUGUCACAUUUACUAUUUUAAAUAUGCUGUUGCCUGUUUUCCUGUUUGUAUUUUUCUGUGGCGUGGCGGCAAUUGAUGUGUUUGCGUGGGUGAAUGCGCUCAUGUGUUUGAAUGUGUAAGUUUGUAGUUUGUGUUUGUCUAUUUUAUAUUAACACAACAGAUGGAUGUUACCAGUGGUGUGUAUUCAAAAUCCACCUGUGGAGAAUAAAAAGCAUGAGCUGUAACCUAAACGUUACAAUUUGACAGUAUACUGAGGAGUUCUAUGUAUGAUCAAUAUCAACAUUAUUCUACUACAGAUUUUUUUUUAAUCAACUACAGUAAAUCACUGAUCUUUCGAGUUACUUACCCUGGCACAUGUUCUGGCAUUUCUUCAGACUGGUAGGUUCUCAACACAGUGGGAGUGUUAACAAGUAUAAAUAAACUGCCUUCUUGGUGCUAAGCGUGGUCGGUUAUUGUAACUUUAGCCAAAUAACGCAAAGAACACACACACAAUAAUAUCAAGGCUACUGAAACCUAACAUCUUGGAGGGUAUGUCAAGGUAUGUGUAAACGGAUUCAAAAUUAAUAAUAGUAUUAAUGAAUUUCAUUUAUGUAGUCCUAUUUCAAGGUACAUGAAGGGCCUCACUUAGUGUGUGCGUGUGCAUCCCCUAUCAACGUUUUAAGUUGUUUUUGUUUAGUUUGUGAUCGUAUUUGUUCAGUUGCCAAAACUUUAACAUUGUUUAAUGCUCGCUGUGAAUGUCUUAAACAUAUUUUGUCAAGGAUUCAUUUUAAUUUACAUUUUCAAGACUAACUUUUUCAUAUCAAUUUCCAUAACAUUGAUUUUAUUUCCCUUGAGGCCAUUAAGAUACAGGCUGUGCGAGCAAAAGGGAAGUAGAAUGUGUGUGACUAUGGAGAUUUGAGUACAGACAAAAUGUAUAACUCGUCAAAUAUCGUCACUAAAUGAACUCAAAAGGAAAAAGCAAAUGUCCUGUUACAUCUUUUGUCAAUAAUGGCUCAUAUUGUUCUUUAAUGACUACUAAGUAGUGCUCUGGUGUAAGGAAGACACCAGAUCCAUGAGGCAUGGUAUCCUAUAUACUUACCUGUCUUAUGUGUGUGCUGAGUCAUGACCAUACAGUUUACGUUAAAUAAAUGCUAUGUGGUCAUGGUUGCAUUCACAUGCCAUUUGGUUCCUUAUUAUUGGAUGUUCGUUCUAUUAUAGACUGCUCUAAAAAAGGCCAAAUAACUGAUUAAACCAUGUGUAUGCCUUGCUUCUUGAAUAAAUAACAAC
ensembl:lncRNA